AGGGGACCUUGCAUGGUCACUGGGGGUAUGCCACACACCCGCACGUGCCACCUUGCCGCUCGGUCGGGACAUUUGUGUACUUGAGAGCUGGGUGACCUUGAGCAAGCUGCUGCAACUUUUUUGCACCUCUAUUUCCUGAACUGUAAAAUGGGGAUGAUUAUCUACCUAUCUACCUCAGUGAUUGUGAGGAUUGAAUGAUAUCAUCCAUGGUUAGAAGAAUACCGUGUACAUGAACUACACACAUACAAUGCAUACAUACGUACAUACAUACAGGUACGACUGCCUCCGAAUCAGUUUUCCCACGUCCCCUCUCGUGUUACUGUUUACCAAAGACUAUUCUAUUACUUGACUCAUUUUUGAAAACUGGAAAUAAAUUCAGGAAACUGUAUGUGGUUACCAUACAUGGAGUAACUGUAAAAAUAAGCACCUGUUGUUGCCUACGGCCAGGUGGGAUCCCGAGGCCUGCUCCCUCUUUGUUAGGGACGGGGAGGGGAGAUCAUAGAGAAGCAUCGAAGACAGAGUAGCACCAAAGCAGACUUUCUCAGGAGGAUCGAUUGAAGCAGAAGUGAAAUAGAGUCAUUUUCUCACCAUGUUAUAUAGUAGUACUUAAGGCCUCGUUUGCAUGUCCUUGGAGCCAUGGAAAAGUGUCUGGAGUCCCCCCACUUUGCUGGGGGACGCAGUGAGCCUGGUGUCUAGAGGGGAGCAGUCCUCCUGGCUCGGUGCCAGUUCUGGAGGGCAAAGCUGCUCAAUGAUACUGUUCCCAAAAC